AUUGAACGCUGGCGGUAGGCCUAACACAUGCAAGUCGAACGGCAGCACAGUAAGAGCUUGCUCUUACGGGUGGCGAGUGGCGGACGGGUGAUGAAUACAUCGGAAUCUACUUUUUCGUGGGUGAGAACGUAGGGAAACUUACGCUAAUACCGCAUACGACCUACGGGUGAAAUCAGGGGAUCUUCGGACCUUGCGCGAUUGAAUGAGCCGAUGUCGGAUUAGCUAGUUGGCGGGGUAAAGGCCCACCAAGGCGACGAUCCGUAGCUGGUCUGAGAGGAUGAUCAGCCACACUGGAACUGAGACACGGUCCAGACUCCUACGGGAGGCAGCAGUGGGGAAUAUUGGACAAUGGGCGCAAGCCUGAUCCAGCCAUACCGCGUGGGUGAAGAAGGUCUUCGGGUUGUAAAGCACUUUUGUUGGGAAAGAAAAGCAGCAGGUUAAUACCUCGCUGUUCUGACGGUACCAAAAGAAUAAGCACCGGCUAACUUCGUG
rnacentral:rRNA from 1 species